rnacentral:rRNA from 1 species
CCUACGGGAGGCAGCAGUGAGGAAUAUUGGUCAAUGGGCGAGAGCCUGAACCAGCCAAGUCGCGUGAAGGAUGAAGGAUCUAUGGUUUGUAAACUUCUUUUAUAUGGGAAUAAAGUGCGGAACGUGUUCCUUUUUGUAUGUACCAUAUGAAUAAGCAUCGGCUAACUCCGUGCCAGCAGCCGCGGUAAUACGGAGGAUGCGAGCGUUAUCCGGAUUUAUUGGGUUUAAAGGGUGCGUAGGUGGUUAAUUAAGUAAGCGGGGAAAGUUUGUGGCUCAACCAUAAAAUUGCCGUUGAAACUGGUUGACUUGAGUAUAUUUGAGGUAGGCGGAAUGCGUGGUGUAGCGGUGAAAUGCAUAGAUAUCACGCAGAACGCCGAUUGCGAAGGCAGCUUACUAAACUAUAACUGACACUGAAGCACGAAAGCGUGGGGAUCAAACAGGAUUAGAUACCCGGGUAGUC